ensembl:lncRNA
GGGUAUUGGUAUAUUCUUCAAUAGGGUAUAGGGUAUAGGUAUAUUCUUCAUUAGGGGUAUAGAUCUAUUCUUCAUUAGGGAUAUGGGGCAUAGGUAGAUUCUUCAUUAGGGGUAUAGGGUAAAGUUAUAUGCUUCUUUAGGGUUUGGGUUAUUGGUCUAGUCUUCAUUUAAGGUAUAGCGUAUAGGUCCAUUCUUCAUUAGGGUAUAGGCUAAAGGUCUAUUCUUCAUUAGGGUAUAGGGUAAAGGUCUAUUCUUCAUUUGGGUAUAGGGUAAAGGUCUAUUCUUCACUAGGGGUAUAGGGUAAAGGUCUAUUCUUCAUUUGGGGUAUAGGGUAAAGGUCUAUUCUUCAUUUGGGGUAUAGGGUAAAGGUCUAUUCUUCACUAAGGGGUAUAGGGUAAAGGUCUAUUCUUCAUUUGGGGUAUAGGGUAAAGGUAUAUUCUUCACUAAGGGGUAUAGGGUAAAGGUAUAUUCUUCACUAAGGGGUAUAGGGUAAAGGUAUAUUCUUCAUUAGGAUAAAG